rnacentral:pre_miRNA from 1 species
CAUAUACUCCCUCCGUCCUAAAUUACUUGUCUUAAAUUUGUCUAGAUAUGGAUGUAUCUAGACAUGUUUUACUGUUAGAUACAUCUGUAUCUAGAUAAAGCUAAGACAAGUAAUUUGAGACGGAGGGAGUAUUUU